rnacentral:SRP_RNA from 1 species
GCCGGGCGCGGUGGCGCGCUCCUGUAGUCCCAGCUACUCGGGAGGCUGAGGCAGGAGGAUCGCUUGAGCCCAGGAGUUCUGGGCUGUAGUGCGCUAUGCCGAUCGGGUGUCCGCACAAAGUUCGGCAUCAAUAUGGUGACCUCCCGGGAGCGGGGGACCACCAGGUUGCCUAAGGAGGGGUGAACCGGCCCAGGUCGGAAACGGAGCAGGUCAAAACUCCCGUGCUGAUCAGGAGAGGAGAUGUUGGUUUUGAAGAGUAAAAAGGCAGACAGGUGACUAAAAUUAAGAUGCCUUCU